rnacentral:lncRNA from 1 species
AGCAGAUGCAGGAUCCAAGCAUCUUGUACAGUCUGCAGAAUUGUCCCACUGCAAUUCAGUUGAAUAAGAAAGAAGGAGAAGCUGUGAACUGUAGGUCUAAGGACUUCUCAAAUUUUUUCAUGUAUAUGGAGUCACACUGGGCUCUUAUCAAAAUGCAGAUUCUGAUUCAGUAGGUCUGGGGAGCUGCUGCUGCUGCUGGUUCCAAACUACGCUGGAUUAAAAAGCGGCAAAGAAGCAGAAGAUAAGCACAGGGUUGCCUGGGAUGAAGUUUGCUCAGCCAUUAAAAGGUGGGAAAGUCUCCUGCUGCUGUGUAUAUGAGAGAAAGCCACUGUUACGUCGUGUCAGCUACCCAUCAAUUGAGGCAGUGGAAGCAAUUUCAUCAAGGGGUCGGUAAAAAGCCCUCCAAACCUUAAUUAUCCGAGUGC